CUUUUUAUUGAAGGUCUUCUUCUAAGCAUGAUCGUUUCUUAUAGCGAUUAAAGAUCUUCUAACUCCAACCCUCAGCAAUGCCACAAGUACCAAAAAAUUGGACUUGGAGCCUUCAAACAUCCAAAUAAAAGGGUGAUCACCCUUAUGGAGGAAGUGAUUGAAGAAAAUUUGGAAGAAGAAUCUUCUACUCCUAACGAGGGAUUGGAAGAGGAAGAAGAUGCACUGUAUAGUGAUGAGGGGGAGGUUUACUUCAUUAGGCAAAGCUUAAAUAUCUUUGAUGUUGAAGAAGAUCAUUGCUUCACAAAAUCUUCCACUCUUGAUUGACCUUCCAUGGCAUAGUGUGUGAUGUUAUAUAUCAUUGGUAGUGAGAGUUGUGAGAAUGUUGUCUCUACAAAGAUGGU
rnacentral:lncRNA from 1 species